rnacentral:tRNA from 1 species
AAAAAAUUAGUUAAAUAAUAACAUUAAAAUGUCAAUUUAAAAUAAUUUAUAAUUAAAUAUUUUUUA